rnacentral:rRNA from 1 species
GACGAACGCUGGCGGCGUGCUUAACACAUGCAAGUCGAGCGGUAAGGCCCUUUCGGGGGUACACGAGCGGCGAACGGGUGAGUAACACGUGGGUGACCUGCCCUCAGCUCUGGGAUAAGCCUGGGAAACUGGGUCUAAUACCGGAUAUGACUCCAUGACGCAUGUUGUGGAGUGGAAAGCCUUGUGCGGCUGAGGAUGGGCCCGCGGCCUAUCAGCUUGUUGGGGGGUGAUGGCCUACCAAGGCGACGACGGGUAGCCGGCCUGAGAGGGCGACCGGCCACACUGGGACUGAGAUACGGCCCAGACUCCUACGGGAGGCAGCAGUGGGGAAUCUUGCGCAAUGGGCGAAAGCCUGACGCAGCGACGCCGCGUGAGGGAUGACGGCCU